rnacentral:sRNA from 1 species
GAUUCCGUCUUCCUUAAAAAAAAGGGGGGGGGGGCGCCUUCAAGAAGGCGAUUUACCAUUCCAGACACAAUCUCUCAGAGAGAAACAAAAACUCUCCCUGUCUGAGGCGGACCGCGAAGGCGUGUGUGUAAUAAGAUGCUAAUACAAUUUAAUGAUAUUUCGGCUGGAAAACCUGUCCUCAGAGCCUCCUUGUGCAGGGAAGGCCAGACGUUCUCGGAAAACAGGAGCUCGCGCACUCUUAGACUGCUUCAAACGGGGGUCAGAGCCCCACUCUUUCCCAUCUCUCAUUAACUUUAAUGCCUUCUCAGGGACAAUAACUGCAGAUACAAAAAAUAAAAUGUUUCUGUGCACAUAGGGCAAGAGGGCUGCAGGCUGUUGACUGUCGACUCUACUUCUCCAAGCCUAAGAGGAACUGGAACCCUCUCCUGCCACAUCACUGCCUACCCUGUGUCCCAACGAGGCCCUACUUCCAGUGCCUACAGUACCUAUCAUACAGGCUAACUCUACAACCCAACCUCGGAGUUCCCAAGAGUGUGCCGGAUUCCUUCUAGUUUAUCUUUCAAUACUUCCUCAACCUUACUCUUCGCCCCACAGGGCAAAUCUCAGUGGACCAUUCCUAAGUCUAGCUGCCCACGGACACCUGUUAGAUGCUCUCCUCUUCUUGAGAGAAGAGAGCUGGCUUUCUGGUCUAGCUUGGGGCAGACAGAUCAAAGACCAUAAUGCAUAUAAUAAACUGGCUUGCCUCAGUUCAUUAACAGAGUGCUAACGCUGUGUGGUGUGCUAACGCACACUUAAGGCUACCUCUUUUUCCUUCUCUUUUCACUGUGGUGCUAGAACCCAGGGCCUUGGACUCUGCUAGAUAAGUGCUUGGCCAUCAGCUACAUCCCUUAGACCCAGGUUUAGUCUUUAAUACAGUCUAUUACUCCUUAAGCUCACCUAGAGGUAGAAAUUACUAUCAAUCCCACUGGCUGAUAAGUAAACUAAGACCCUACAGUGCCUUUACCACAGCCGGAAGCUAUAUUCAAACCUAGGCUAGUCAACUCCAUGGCCAAAGGGCUCAACUUUUCAGGAAGGCUUAAGGUACAGAAGAAGUUUUCCAAACGCCAAUGAGAUUUCUGAGCAGAAACUAAGGCUCAGAACCAACUUCCCGUAUUGCCGAAGCUUUGGGCUAAGACCCGCCGCCGUCUGCAUGUUUCGGUGACUCCUGAUGUAGGUCCUAUCGCAGGGGGGAACAUGACAAGCCAACGUUAUCCCCCAGCCCCAACUCUAGCCUGGUAACCUCUCAUCCAACCUAAACAUUCAUCCAUGAGAUCUCCAGACAGCCUGUUGCACACACAGUGAAGCAUCUGGUGGAGGCGUUGGGGCAACCAACCGCCUUCUAGUUUAAUAGAAACACUGGUUAUAAAUAACUGGAAUAUCCUGCCCACAACCUCAAACAAAGGUAGGGGAGUCAGGGUCAAAGGCUUAAAUUUAGAGGAUACAGUACAACAGAGACCUGGCGACCCCUGCAUACACGCUAUCAAUGAGAACUAAAUGGCCAAGAUCUUUGACAACCUCUUGGAUAGGAGUCACUGGCCAUUUUACCCAGGCAAUUUAGGGAAAGGAAAAACAUGUUGGAUGGGAAAACAUUCUGGGAACAUGUGCUGUGUCCAGAGCCCAAACAACUCUGUCCUUAAACACUUCAUCUCCAAGAGUGUUGGGGAGACCCUUGGCCAAACAGUUUCAAAGCCAACAUUCACUGUUAAAUCCUGCUGCGUAGGGUGAGGACUCCCCUCUAAAAGGCAUUUACUGUGGAACCAAAUGCUUUCCCACUCAAAACAGCAGCCAACAGCUCUUGGAACAACCCAGGAGAGGGCUCCAGAUCAAACAGGCAUGCCCCCCCACCCCCCGUAGCCCCCAACACACCAUGCAAACUUUCUCAAUAAAUUAUUCGCCCACUUCGGAUCAAAGCCUGUUUUUGCAGCCUGUGACCUAAAAAGCAAAUAGCAUAGCCUACACACAAAAGCUCCUCCUUGACUGGGUCAGUUUUAUUACUCAUUCCUUCCCCCCCUUACAGUUCAUUCUCUUAUUUUCCUUGUCCGCUUAGUAGAUUGCUCUGCAAGUUCCAACCCGCCCAAGGAAGAUGGGACAGGAGGGCCUGGAGGGCUGGUGUGUUCGCCUGGGGCCCUUAAGGGGGCAAAAGAAAUCAAUCGAGGGGAAAAAGAAGUCAGCACCCUGGGAACCCAGAAAACAGGGCCAGGCUCGGUUGGCAGUCCUCUGCGGGGAUCUUCUGCCAAAUGUCCUACUGGGAAUUUUACCAGUGACAGGAGAGACAGUGCCACUCUGGGAGGAGAACCCAGCUCCCAAGCUCCGGUGUGUUUGCAAAUAUAAAUGUGAAGGGAGCAUCCUAACUUGUUCCUCCUGGCUCAGAACUCUUUAUUUCAAAACCGGGGCCCCCGCCCCUCCCUAACCCCUCUGGCACCUUCUCUGAAAACAACCAUAAUCCCUCCCAUUGACCUCUUGCAAACUGCCUCUGGGUAAAACUUUGUACCUCGGAAUCCUGCAGAUGAGGUGGGGGUGGGGGUGGGGUGCUUGGGACAAGGGUGAAGUUUGGAAAUCUGCAGAGACUCCGGAUAGCGAGUGCAAUGUACCCUGGGGCAUAAAGAAACCCGGCGCCCCUCCCCCGCCCCCCAGCAGGAGGCCUGAGGCCAAGCUGGUUAAAAAAAAAAGUGCACAGGCCGGCUGCAGCGGCUAAGGGGAUUAGAAGAGGGUUGCCCGCCUCCAGCCUGCCCCUGGCGGCCGGCGACGGGCACGCAGGCUGGAGGCGCGCCGGCGUGAUUCCGACCGCCGGAGCCGGGAGGAGGAGCCGGAGGUGGCUGAGGGGGGCUCCGGCCCAGGCGUAGGAAGGGCAAGAGGCGGUUCGGGCCGGGGGCGGUGCCAGGAGGCUUGAACCCAGAGCUUUGCCUGUGCUAGGCAAGAGAGGACAAUGCUCUCAGUCUUCCCCCUGAGGAUACAUUGCAAGAACUCCAGCGUGCACAGAAAGAGAACCAAGAGUGGAACUGGUAUGUGCAGUGCCUGCGGGGGCCAGAAGAAGGCAUCAGACCUAAGAGGGACAGUUUUAAGUUGGAGCGUCUGAGAAGAUGGCAGAACUUACUUCAAGGGCUGCAGGAUGGUGGCUCACACCUACUAUCCUACCACCUAGGGGGAGCCGAUGGAGGAGAAUCGGGAGUUCAAGGUCAUCCUGGACUACAUAGCAAAUUUGAGGUCAGCCUGGACGGCCGAAGGUCCUGGAUUCAACUCUCAGCAUUGCAAAAAUAAUAAAGAUCUUAUACCCGA